rnacentral:rRNA from 1 species
CCCCCCGUAAUUUAAGCAUAUCAGUAAGCGGAGGAAAAGAAACUAACAAGGAUUCCCUUAGUAACUGCGAGUGAACCGGGAAGAGCCCAGCACCGAAUCCCUCAGCAGCUGGCUGACGGGAAGUGUGGUGUUUAGAGUGAUUGCUGUGCGUUGUGCUGGCGCCUAAGUCUUCUUGACUGGGGUUUGAUGGCCCGGAGUGGGUGUCAGGCCUUUAAGGCGCUGGUGUGGCGUGCAAUGGUUGCUCGAAGAGUCGGGUUGUUUCUGAGUACAACCCAAAGCAGGUGGUAAACUCCAUCUAAGGCUAAAUAUGAGUACGAGUCCGAUAGCGAACAAGUACCGUGAGGGAAAGUUGCAAAGAACUUUGAAGAGAGAGUUCAAGAGUACGUGAAACCGCCCGGAGUGAAGCUGGUGAAGCCACGUGGUUGCACGUCGGAAUCAAUCGUGUCUAGCAAGACGCCUGGCUAUGUGUGGCAUGUGCUGCAAGGUACGUGGGCAUUUGGUCAGGUGCUGUGAGUCGUUUUGUUAGUACGAUGUACUUUUGACGUGUGACGCGCCACGAGUGGUGGUGUAGCAGCUAGAAGUGCCUUGAGCAGGUAGCACAGGAUUCGUUCGAUGUGCGAAGGCUGGAGGCAUUAUAGCCUGUUGUGCUACCAAGGGCAGCUUGUACUGAGCUGUAGCCAUGCGAGCCGUGCAUGAGGCACGUAGGCGUCCAGGGUGUGCGUGGCCUGCUUGGGACUGCUUUGCAGUGUCUGGUGGGUCAUGUGUGUGUUUCGUGGAUGCUGCGCUGAGCGCCAAGUGGAUGGAAUCGUAUGGCUGUUCGGUGGCGAGUUGGUAACUCACCAGUCCCGUCUUGAAACACGGACCAAGGAGUGCAGCAUGCAGGCGAGUCUGAGGGUGUAGCAAAACCCGAAGGCGAAGUGAAAGCGAAGGCUGCUUCCGAGCAGUUGAGAUGUGAUCCGGCCAGAGUGUGAGCUCGGUCGGCGCAACAUCGUCUCGUCGUGUUCUUGUGUGGGAGCGGCGAAGAUUGAGCCUGCACGCUACGACCCGAAAGAUGGUGAACUAUGCCAGAGGAGGGCGAAGCCAGAGGAAACUCUGGUGGAGGUCCGAAGCGAUUCUAACGUGCAAAUUGAUCGUCAGACUUUGGUAUAGCGGCGAAAGACUAAUCGAACCAUCUAGUAGCUGGUUCCUUCCGGA